UGUGUGAAUUAGAAAAACGCUUGGCCUCAAGCCCAAACUCCAAUAAGCAAAACACGGAUCCAAGUCCACGCAUCUCUUCGUUGCAACAUCGAUGAACCUUCGCUUCAUUCACUGAAUUGCAUUCUCUCCUUCUCAUUUCAAACGUUCAAGCGAAAGCCAUGAACGACUCCACAUCUGGAUCCAUGUUUAAUCACCAUCACCAAAAUCCUCCCUAAAAUUGAAUUCAUCAUUCUUCUUCACCAAAUCUAAAUUGAUGAAUCCACCGAAAUCAAGUUCUCCAAUCAACGCAGGAUCGUGACGAAUCGUGGAUAUGUUCAAGAGAUUUGCAUCGAUAAUAUAAGCAAGAAGCAGAAGAAAACUCGCCAAACAAAAAUUUCGACGCGGUGGCUCUCCGGUGAUUUCAGGUGUGACAUCAAGGGAAGAAUAAAAUGGGUAUGGGCUUGAAGAUGAAGAUGAGGUGGUGGUGAUUAAGACUUAGGAAUAAGUGGUUGACUUUAAUCAACUAGUUGACCAAAAAGUCAAUAAUUGACCAUAGUCAACUGUAGAUUAGAAUGUGGUUUUUCAUGAUGUAAUUGUAUGAACUUGUAAAAAUGCACCUUUGAUGACUUGUAAUGUGGAGAACUUCUUGAUAUGAAUAAAACUUGGUUUGUUCUUAAAAUAAA